ACGGCAAAGUUGGGCCCUCGAGGUGUUUUGGACUUGAACUCCCGCCAUUCCUAACAACCUCAGGCUCUUUCCUUUCCCCCCUUAGCCGCUUAAGCUUUCAUGGCCUUGCUGAGAGAAUUCCCCUAGGCAGGAAGCAGCCAGGCUUUGAAGCUGCACGGCUUUUCAAUGCUAAUCAAGGUGACCAAUUGCGCCAUUCACACUUUCCUCCAACAGACAAGAGUUGGGUACCUCAUACCUCACAACCUCUGAGGAUGCCUGCCAUAGAUGUGGGCGAAACGUCAGGAGAGAAUACUUCUGGAACAUGGCCAUACAGCCCGGAAAACAUACAACAACCCUGUGAUCCCAGCCAUGAAAGCCUUCGACAAGACAAGAGUUCUUUCUCUCCACAGAUAUGUAAACCCCACUUGCCUAGUUUUCCAACAAACUUCACAGCCUCAGAGAAUGCCAACCAUAGAUGUGGGUGAAACGUCAGGAGAGAAUGCUUCUGGAACAUGGCCAUACAGCCCGAAAAACGCAGGGCAAAUGAAUAUUUAGGCUACUUUAAGUAAGAUUUUUGGAUAAACAUUGUACUGACGUGGCAGCUGUCCUGACAUGCAUCUGAUGUUAGAAGUAAUAAAUCCCACAUCUCGUCCUGAGGCACAAAGUCGAGGAUUCCAAAGGAUGGUCCCUUGGCAAAUAAGGUGGGAUCAAACUUCUAUAAAUGUACAGUAUGGAUAGCCUCCCUAGAGUAUUUCCCAGCAUCUUAUAGCACAUAAAGAUUCCAGGGUAGAUAUACAGGAGUUUCUGUUUUCUAAUUUAUGUAUCUAUUUCUUCA